UACAGAGGUCUCAAGCGUUGUUCGGAUUCAUUGGGCGUAAAGGGUGCGUAGGUGGCGCGGUAAGUCGGGGUGUGAAAUUUCGGAGCCUUAACUCCGAAAACUGCAUUCGAUACUGCCCGUGCUUGAGGACUGGAGAGGAGACUGGAAUUUACGGUGUAGCAGUGAAAUGCGUAGAUAUCGUAAGGAAGACCAGUGGCGAAGGCGGGUCUCUGGACAGUUCCUGACACUGAGCACGAAGGCCAGGGGAGCAAACGGG
rnacentral:rRNA from 1 species